UUCAUUAUCCCACUUCAUGGACCCAUUAUUCCACUAAUGGAAAGGUAGUUAACUACCCAAUGGGAUAAUGGUUAACUAAUCAUUAUCCCUCUAAUGGGAAAGUGGCCAAUUACCCAGUAUCCCAGUACAUGAAUCCACUAUCCUACUAAGUGGUUGGUAACUUUCCAUAACCUCUUAGCCGUUCUUGAUGGAAGCACGGUUAUGAAUAUGUCAUUUGGUUCAAAGGUCCCUAAGCACACUAAAAACUCCAUACCAUCUAAGAAUGAGGUUUUGAGUGCUUAGAAGAUUUGAAGAAAAGAAGAAUUGUAGACUCCGACUAUAUCACUAACAAUGGCUGGAGGUAUGUCGAUCACUCUAUAUUUCCGCUGCGUCAUUGCUCUGUAAUCUCCAACAAUUAUUUCAUCAAAUUUCAAAUUUGGUUAAGUCAACCUUUUUUGGAGAUUUUUACUCCAAAAACGUAGGCUCUGCGAUUAAAAUGGCUCAAGAGAGAAGAUCUAAGUUUCUUCAUGAUUUUAACCGCAUUCAAGUUCAAGAUAGCAAUGUCUGGGUAAACAUACUAUCAAUAACAAUAAAAAAAUUGAGUGAAGAAGAUUUCAAAAAAACAUGAAGAAGACCAAGGUGAAGAACAAUUUCCUAUUAGUUUGUUUUGUAUUUAUAAUUUCUUUUAGAAUUUUGUAUUAUUUCUCAAUUUGUAUUCAAACCAUUAUUAUGUAUGCUUUCAAUAUUUGCAUUCAUUCAAAAUCUCAUGUUGUAUAGUCAUGAA